rnacentral:piRNA from 1 species
UAGAGAGCGCUGGGUUUGGAUGGA